rnacentral:rRNA from 1 species
UACGAAGGGGGGCUAGCGUUGCUCGGAAUCACUGGGCGUAAAGGGUGCGUAGGCGGGUCUUUAAGUCAGGGGUGAAAUCCUGGAGCUCAACUCCAGAACUGCCUUUGAUACUGAAGAUCUUGAGUUCGGGAGAGGUGAGUGGAACUGCGAGUGUAGAGGUGAAAUUUCGUAGAUAUUCGCAAGAACACCAGUGGCGAAGGCGGCUCA